UGGGGAAUAUUGGACAAUGGGCGCAAGCCUGAUCCAGCAAUGCCGCGUGUGUGAAGAAGGCCUGCGGGUUGUAAAGCACUUUCAGUGGGGAGGAAGGCCUCGAUGUUAAUAGUAUCGAGGAUUGACGUUACCUACAGAAGAAGCACCGGCUAACUCUGUGCCAGCAGCCGCGGUAAUACAGAGGGUGCGAGCGUUAAUCGGAAUUACUGGGCGUAAAGGGCGCGUAGGUGGUUACUUAAGUCAGAUGUGAAAUCCCUGGGCUUAACCUAGGAAUUGCAUUUGAAACUGAGUAGCUAGAGUGUGGUAGAGGGAAGUGGAAUUUCCGGUGUAGCGGUGAAAUGCGUAGAUAUCGGAAGGAACACCAGUGGCGAAGGCGACUUCCUGGACCACUACUGACACUGAGGCGCGAAAGCGUGGGGAGCGAACAGGAUUAGAUACCCAAGUAGUCCCUGAGCGGGCUGGCAAGGCGCAU
rnacentral:rRNA from 1 species